GACGAACGCUGGCGGCGUGCUUAACACAUGCAAGUCGAACGGAAAGGCCCCCACCUUGGUGGGGGUGCUCGAGUGGCGCACGGGUGAGUAACACGUGGGUGAUCUGCCCUGUACUUCGGGAUAAGCUUGGGAAACUGGGUCUAAUACCGGAUAGGACCAUGGUUUAGUGUCUCAUGGUGGAAAAAUUAUUGUUUUGGUGCAGGAUGAGCUCGCGGCCUAUCAGCUUGUUGGUGGGGUAAUGGCCUACCAAGGCGUCGACGGGUAGCCGGCCUGAGAGGGUGGACGGCCACAUUGGGACUGAGAUACGGCCCAGACUCCUACGGGAGGCAGCAGUGGGGAAUAUUGCACAAUGGGCGCAAGCCUGAUGCAGCGACGCCGCGUGGGGGAUGACGGCCUUCGGGUUGUAAACUCCUUUCGUUAGGGACGAAGCCACACCUUUUUUGGGUGUGGUGACGGUACCUUUGUUAAGAAGCACCGGCUAACUACGUG
rnacentral:rRNA from 1 species